rnacentral:rRNA from 1 species
GACGAACGCUGGCGGCGUGCUUAACACAUGCAAGUCGUACGGUAAGGCCCUUUCGGGGGUACACGAGUGGCGAACGGGUGAGUAACACGUGAGUAACCUGCCCACAACUUUGGGAUAACGCUAGGAAACUGGUGCUAAUACUGGAUAUGUGCUCCUGCUGCAUGGUGGGGGUUGGAAAGCUCCGGCGGUUGUGGAUGGACUCGCGGCCUAUCAGCUUGUUGGUGGGGUAGUGGCCUACCAAGGCGGCGACGGGUAGCCGGCCUGAGAGGGUGACCGGCCACAUUGGGACUGAGAUACGGCCCAGACUCCUACGGGAGGCAGCGGUGGGGAAUAUUGCACAAUGGGCGCAAGCCUGAUGCAGCAACGCCGCGUGCGGGAUGACGGCCUUCGGGUUGUAAACCGCUUUCAGCAGGGACGAAGCUUUUUGUGACGGUACCUGCAGAAGAAGCACCGGCUAACUACGCG